CACGUAGGGCGCAAGCGUUGUCCGGAAUUAUUGGGCGUAAAGAGCUCGUAGGCGGUCUGUUGCGUCCGCUGUGAAAACUCGGGGCUUAACCCCGAGCCUGCAGUGGAUACGGGCAGACUAGAGGUAGGUAGGGGAGAAUGGAAUUCCCGGUGUAGCGGUGAAAUGCGUAGAGAUCAUGAGGAAGACCAGUGGCGAAGGCGGGUCUCUGGACAGUUCCUGACACUGAGACACGAAGGCCAGGGGAGCAAACGGG
rnacentral:rRNA from 1 species